AAUAUUCAAUCAAAAGGGAAUUUAUUUUGCAUUUGACAUUCGAUUUCUAAAAUUAGUACUACUUGUUCAAAGAACCGUCAAAUUUAGAAAAAAAGCGUAUAGCGAAAUCGUGUAUAUCGAGUAUGGCGUAUAUCGCGGAAUACCUGUAUAGCCACACGAGGAAGGCGCUGCUUCGCGUUCACAUGAAAAUGUGGUAGUGUGAAAUCAAGUUUGCAAGCGGUAGGACGCGUCGGUGUGUGUUCGUUUUUUCUCUCGUGAAACCAGUACGGAAAAAUUAUUUGAAAUCGUAACACACGCACGAACGGAAGUGAGCACGGACCACAACAGAAGCAAUAUUCAAUUGGUUGGAGUGCCGAAAACAGAACAGGAGAGGAAAGAAGGCAGGAACGAUUCGAUCCUCCAACGUGCUAGCGCCUGGUAGAGGAGAAGCGGCAGGAAGGUAGAGACGAACAUCCACCUCGCUAGUGCAGCACGUGGGAGCAGCAAGAGGGAAGCAAGCAGGACGCGUACACACCAUUUGACGAAGGCAAAGCUGGAGGAAAGGAAGAACGAGGAGAGAAGGCAGGCAAGACGGGUACGUGUGUAUCCCGCACCGGUUUUAGGCAGUGUGAAUUGU